AGGUGGCUACACCACGUUCUCCAGCCUCCCUGGAAGGCACUGACUGCAAUGGAUUUAUAUAUAUCCUUAAAUUUAUAUUAAUAGACUUUGCC